GUCUAAAGACGCGGAGAAAAUGCAGCAGCUGCGUCAGAGCCGUGCAUUCUACAGUAGCAGCUGGGAACCUGAGUUCCCAAAUCAGCAGCAGCAGAAGCAGCAGCAGCAGCAUAGAAGGCAUUACUCGUCGAUCCCGCAUACUCACUAUGAGCAGCAGCCACAUACCAAACAAAGCAGUCUGCUGCUGCAUUUACCACAACAGCUCCAUGGCCUAUUCAAGAGAGCUUUGUGGUCAGAGACGAGGACGAGCCUCCUCCUGUUGAGCACAAGAACCAAACUCCAAGAAAGACCUAUGCUUUUAUGUCCAAAGACGCUGAGAAAAUGCAGCAGCUGCGUCAGAGCCGGGCGUUCUACAGUAGCAGCUGGGAAGCUGAGUUGCCAAAGCAGCAGCAGCAGCAUAGAAGGCAUUACUCGUCGAUCCCGCAUACUUACUAUGAGCAGAACAGUGAGCAGACUAAUGAGAUAGUCUUUGGGGCGGUCCAAGAACAGAGCAGCAAGCGUGCAGCUAAGCCUAAGGAGUCAGGAGAGCAGAUUAAUAACAAUAAUAAUACUCAACAGAAUCUUCACUACAGAGCUCAU
rnacentral:lncRNA from 1 species